rnacentral:ncRNA from 1 species
GCGUGGGUUGGCCCGCGGCUCUCAUGUGCGGCUAUGGGGGGUAGUGGCGGGUCAGGGGGCUCCGUCACCACAAUCCCCGCGGGUGGCGGACCGGUCCGGGAGGUGCGCCACGCCUCCCGGACCGCG